GUAGUUGAAAAACACCAUUUAAAAAAAGCGAAAACACCGGUUAAACAUAGCGAGAACACCUGGUAAACGCCUGUUAGCAGGCUUCUAGUUUUCAUCACACCUUUCUACGGUGGCCAAGAGUUCUCGUCGAUCCGCCAUUGCCAUGUGUGGCAGCAACAUUGCGAAGAGGACAGGUAUUUUGGAGCUAUUUCCUCGGUAACUAUUAGUAAUUUUCUCCGGAGAGCAUCCAAGACAUAUGUAAAGGAAGAUUGAGAUGGUUGCAACUUGAAUAUAACAGCUGGGCUUAGAGCAUGGGAGAAAGAAGAAAAUUCCUCAUGGUUAUGUUAGUCUGGUAUGUUUUGUAUUUAAUAAUAUAGUUAUUUGUUGUCAAACCUCCUUCUCUUUCUUACAUUUUAUUAGAACUCCUGUACUUGAGUGUCCCUCUUGCUGGCAGAAGGCAUACAGAUUGAAAGACUGUGCUUAUUCAAGAAAUUGUGGUUACAGAUGAGACAGCCUGUGGGAGUGUGCACUGGGACAAGAGGACAUAAAGCCCUAUCUUGGGUAAAUUAAUGUGAGGUGUUUCUCCAAAGAAACCAUGAUGAUUUCUUGGCAAGGUCCAAUGGGUAAUUUGGAAUGGGCUUCUUUAAAGUUUCAGUGGGAUGAUAGCACCCCGAGUCUUGCUGAGUGAAGAUCCAAAGGACCAUGUUAUCUAAAAUCUGGACACUUUUUGUUGAGAGUAUGUCUAUGAGUCAUUAUUCAUUUGAGAGGGCUGUGCCACAUGCCCCUUCUGUGUAAGGUUUUUCGUAAAUUUAUAUUAAAGUAUAAAUUGCAAGUAUUUAUAAACAAAGAAUUAAUCCUACAAUUUACAAGCAGUUGCUCUUAGAACCAACAAUUGAAAUUCUUGGUGAGGAAAUAAGCAAACCCCCACUAUACAUGAUAUAGUGCUUACCAACUCAUAAGAACCCCUAUUUUUGUUAUUAAGCCUGACCUGAAGGUGUUUUAUGCAGGUUUUUCAAAAAGGUUCGUAUUGAUAUUAUUCACUUGUGUAACAGGGUAUGUAUAUUAAUUGAAAGGUUAUUCCUCAUGUAAUGAAAAUCAACAAGGUGUUCCCAAAUUAUUAAUAGCUCAAGUAUAUAUUCAAGUAUUAUGAUUUGUUUGUGUGUUUUUCUAUUUUUUCAAGAUUUUUUUUUAGGUUUAGGGGUAGGGUUUUCUACAAGAACCUGGGUUGAAAUACAUAUUUUUAGGUAACAUGUUCUAACAUGUUCUUAAACUCUUGUAAUGUUGUUAAGUACUAUAUGUGUUAUUGAAAGUUGAAUGUGUUACCUGUAAAGCAUGGGUAUAAGGCAUAUGGCUGGUGUUAGAUUACGCGAUUUGUUGAAACAUUUUCAUGUAAAGGGGGUGUCAAAGAUACUGACAGAGGCUGUGGUGUUUAAUGUAUGUAUACUUAUUUAUUUUUAUUUAUUUAAGAUUUUUAAAUGUAUAUUUGAAUUUGAAAAUUAUAUUAUUUUGGGAAGACAUUGAGUGAUAUAAAUAGAUGUUGAGUCACUUUAACUGGCUAUACCAAAAUGGGAUGGUUCUUGAGAUCUUCUGUCAUUGAAAUGUUUGUUGUUUUCAAAUUCUAAAAGACAAGAGAAAACAGUU